rnacentral:rRNA from 1 species
UACGUAGGUGGCAAGCGUUGUCCGGAUUUACUGGGCGUAAAGAGCGCGCAGGCGGUCGUUCAAGUCGCGUGUGAAAGCCCCCGGCUCAACUGAGGAAUUGCACGGGAAACUGCUUGGCUUGAGAUCGGGAGAGGGAAGCGGAAUUCCGGGUGUAGCGGUGAAAUGCGUAGAUAUCCGGAGGAACACCGGUGGCGAAGGCGGCUUCCUGGACCGACACUGACGCUGAGGCGCGAAAGCUAGGGGAGCAAACGGG